rnacentral:rRNA from 1 species
UGCCAGCAGCCGCGGUAAUACGAAGGGUGCGAGCGUUGUUCGGAUUUAUUGGGCGUAAAGAGCACGCAGGCGGAUAGACAAGUCAGAUGUGAAAUCUCGGGGCCCAACCCCGAAACUGCGUCUGAAACUGUUUGUCUAGAAUCUCGGAGAGGGAAGGAGAAUUUCGCAUGUAGGGGUAAAAUCCGUAGAGAUGCGAAGGAAUAUCAGAGGCGAAGGCGCCUUCCUGGACGAGUAUUGACGCUGAGGUGCGAAAGCGUGGGGAGCAAACAGGAUUAGAUA